AGCGAACGCUGGCGGCAGGCUUAACACAUGCAAGUCGAGCGGGCACUUUCGGGUGUCAGCGGCGGACGGGUGAGUAACGCGUGGGAACGUGCCCUCUGGUUCGGAAUAACUCAGGGAAACUUGAGCUAAUACCGGAUACGCCCUUUUGGGGAAAGGCUUGCUGGCGGAGGAUCGGUCCGCGUCUGAUUGGCUGGUUGGUGAGGUAACGGCUCGCCCAGGCGACGAGCAGUAGCUGGGCUGAGAGGAGGAUCAGCCACACUGGGACUGAGACACGGCCCAGUCUCCUACGGGAGGCAGGAGUGGGGAAUAUUGGACAAGGGGCGCAAGCCUGAUCCAGCCAUGCCGCGUGAGUGAUGAAGGCCUUAGGGUUGUAAAGCUCUUUUAUCCGGGACGAUAAUGACGGUACCGGAGGAAUAAGCCCCGGCUAACUUCGUG
rnacentral:rRNA from 1 species